rnacentral:rRNA from 1 species
UACGAAGGGGGCUAGCGUUGUUCGGAAUUACUGGGCGUAAAGCGCACGUAGGCGGAUUUGUAAGUCAGGGGUGAAAUCCCGGGGCUCAACCCGACGUACGCUUCUUGAUACUGGGUAUCUCGAGUCCGAGAGAGGUGAGUGGAAUUCCGAGUGUAGAGGUGAAAUUCGUAGAUAUUCGGAGGAACACCAGUGGCGAAGGCGGCUCACUGGCUCGGUACUGACGCUGAGGUGCGAAAGCGUGGGGAGCAAACAGG